AUUGAACGCUGGCGGCAUGCCUUACACAUGCAAGUCGAACGGCAGCGCGGACUUCGGUCUGGCGGCGAGUGGCGAACGGGUGAGUAAUACAUCGGAACGUUCCCUGUUGUGGGGGAUAACUAGUCGAAAGAUUAGCUAAUACCGCAUACGACCUGAGGGUGAAAGCGGGGGACCGUAAGGCCUCGCGCAAUAGGAGCGGCCGAUGUCUGAUUAGCUAGUUGGUGGGGUAAAAGCUCACCAAGGCGACGAUCAGUAGCUGGUCUGAGAGGACGAUCAGCCACACUGGGACUGAGACACGGCCCAGACUCCUACGGGAGGCAGCAGUGGGGAAUUUUGGACAAUGGGGGCAACCCUGAUCCAGCAAUGCCGCGUGUGUGAAGAAGGCCUUCGGGUUGUAAAGCACUUUUGUCCGGAAAGAAAUCGCGUUGGAUAAUACCCGGCGUGGAUGACGGUACCGGAAGAAUAAGCACCGGCUAACUACGUGCCAGCAGCCGCGGUAAUACGUAGGGUGCGAGCGUUAAUCGGAAUUACUGGGCGUAAAGCGUGCGCAGGCGGUUUUGUAAGACAGGCGUGAAAUCCCCGAGCUCAACUUGGGAAUUGCGCUUGUGACUGCAAGGCUAGAGUGUGUCAGAGGGGGGUAGAAUUCCACGUGUAGCAGUGAAAUGCGUAGAGAUGUGGAGGAAUACCGAUGGCGAAGGCAGCCCCCUGGGAUAUGACUGACGCUCAUGCACGAAAGCGUGGGGAGCAAACAGGGUUAGAUACCCUGGUAGUCCACGCCCUAAACGAUGUCAACUAGUUGUUGGGGAUUCAUUUCUUCAGUAACGUAGCUAACGCGUGAAGUUGACCGCCUGGGGAGUACGGUCGCA
rnacentral:rRNA from 1 species